rnacentral:SRP_RNA from 2 species
GCCGGGCGUGGUGGCGCACACCUGUAGUCCUGGCUACUUUGGAGGCUGAGGUGGGAGGAUAGCUUGAACCCGGGAGGUGGAGGCUGCAGUGAGCUGUGAUCGCACCACUGCACUCCAGCCUGGGUGACAGAGCGAGACCCUGUCUCAA